UGGGCGCAGGAAUCCUGCCCGCUCUGCAUCCAGCCAAUGCCCAGAGCACGCAGGCCUCUAACGAGGUUGUAACCAGCCCUGGAAGCUCUGACUGGCAGGACAAACUGCCUAGCUCCUCAUGGCCUCCGGGAGUAAUCGUGAAUCCUACCCUGAGAGCUGCUCACUGGGCCUGGGUACCAGGAUUAAUGCUCUUGAGUAGGAACCACUCACAGGGGCAGUGAAUGAACGCUGCCCUGUCUCCCGGAGCUGCCUUAACAAAGUGCCAUGAGCCGGGAGGCUAAAACCCCAGACAUCCCUUCCCUCUCAGCUCCGGAGGCUGGACGUCCAAGAUCAAGGUGUGGGCAGGGCUGUGCUCCCUCUGAGACACUGGGUGGGGUCCUCCUGCUGCUUGCAGCCUGGUGGCGGCUGUUGGCGUUCCACGGCAUCCCUCUCAUCUCUACAUCUGUGUCACGUGGCCUUCUCUCUGCCUGUCUUCUGCUCUUCUUAUAGGGACACCCGUCAUAAGGGACCCACCCGAUUAACCUUAUUGUGACUUGGUUACAUCAGCCAAGAUCCUAUUUUCAAAUAAGGCCCCGAUCGCUGGUACCGAGGUUAGGAUGGCAACAUAGCUUUUCAGAGAACACAGACGCUUUGCAGCUGG